rnacentral:lncRNA from 1 species
AUACACUGUGGCUGGAGCCUCCUUCCUCAUGAGCUCUCCUUAGGUCUGGUGUGUCCUGAGACACAUCUGAGAUGUCAUCCUUUUGAAAGUAUAUUCUCUGUUUAAUUUUCUUUGGCGUGGGUCUGCUAUCUGUUCAAUACAAUUGACACCGAUUCUCUAGCCUCAUCUGUCUUGGAGUUGAGUCCAUGGUGACCACAAGGAGAUUUUCUGCCCCUUGAACAGAGGAUUACCCUGUGUGGGAUGCAAGGCCUCUUAGCCAGUCUAGCUUUGUCACACAACAGCAGGACUGGUAAAUGACUCACCUUGACUGCCACAAAGUCAUAUGGUCAUAUGACCUAUCAUCAGCACACACACACAUUCCAGCCCAGGUGGGGACUUGACAGAUGGUGUGAUCUUCAGAGGCUGGCUGUAAUGCUUCUUACAUUUCCUGACUACUGUUUUAUAGCAUCACACAGGUAUUGUGGGGAGCUGCUGCCACGGACAACUUCAGACUUACUGAAGUAGCUUUUUCUUUUAAGCUGCACAUGAGUGCAGUCCCUGGAGUUUUUGCCCACAAUAUCUUUCUCAAAACAGGGGUCCAUGUGUGAGUAGACCUUCUACAGAUGCGAAUGAAACCAGUGUCAUUGUUGCUGGUGUCAUUAUGUCUAUAGAUUCAGGAUGUUAGAGGGUGGCUCUGUGGUCUUUUCUGUUCGAGGUAAAACAUAAACAGCAGGUCCUGGAGGGUCCAGUUGGGACUUGUCUUAUGAAUGGUGUGAAUCAUAUUGGAAUUUGGAAGCCUAAUGGCCACCCAAGCCCAUGGGCUGGGCAGUCGCUUCCCAUGCAUGCUCUAAUAUUCAGAUGUGCCUGCAGAUUCUUCAGUGUCUUCAUGGCUCAUGGCACUUGAGCACCCUUGUCUAAGGGAUUCCAGACUUUCCUAGGUGGAAGGAAUAAAAUCUACCCCAUAUAAUCAGUUCCAUAGAAUGCUGAGGGGUAAAUAUACUAAGAUGGAAGCAGAGAGAGCCAUAUAGGAAUAUAGGAUCCCCACAUUACAUCCAAGAUCAGUGAGUAUUUUAAACCUAGUUGUGAUAUAUUCUCUUCAUCCCUUUUUUUUCCUUGUGUAGAGCCUAGGAAGAUUGUCUUCCUAAUGCCUUUUUGUGUCUUUAAUUAGGAUUUAUGCAGCCUAAUAUCCUGAAAUCCCUUUCACUUUGUUCUGUUGUGAUUUAGGGUGUAGUUCUUUCUGAAGUAUUUUAACUUGUUUGUUUUGAAGUUUUUAUGUACUCUUGUUUGCUUUACUGCUCCUUACUGUAAGGAUGCCAAGAUAAGAAAGAAGUUGAAUUGUGGAGAAAUACUGAGAUUUUGCAAGCUUUAAAAAGAGUUCACACCCUUAUUGAGCUGAAACACUGCACCACUUACUCCUGUACCAUCACUGAUGUUGGCCAUCAUGAAACCAAUAAAAUCUGCUGAGAACCUAACAACUAGAUCUCCUGGCUUAUAUUUCUAGCAUCAUAAGGGGAAAUAUUUCUUUUUCUGGUAAGAUAUUAGAAAUUUGGCCUGUUUAGUCUAUCUCAUGGUUUUCUGUGUUCUAAAAUAUCUUUCAGUUUUCAGUCACAAUUUGAAAGCAUCGUUAGCCCUGGUUAUACAGAUGUGCCUAGGAUGUGACUCAGGUAAGCUUUUCUGUAUUUGCUCUAUUUCACUUCUGAAGCAUCUCAUUGGUAAUGUCCAGCCAGAUCUAAAAACCUCUCUCGCUGGGCGGUCCUUCCUGAAGACCCCUUUGGUUUUCAGAAUUAGUGGUGUUAGCCUACCCAACAGUCAUAUGCCAAUUCUCCUAUUCAAAAGAUGCCCCUUGCUAAUGAAUUUAUUAUCUCUUGGCAAAGUCUGAUGAAUUAAUUUCAUAACCAUCUCUCUCCAGAAGCUGUCUGGUGAAAUCUCCUAUAAUGUAUGGUCCUUGGUAACUCCUAAGCCCCUUCUGCCCCUCAAAGAGCCACAACCUGGCUUAUGAACAAAUGGCCGCAGCUCUCCUGCUAACCACCAUGGAUUUCAGUGGGUCUAUCUGGUCUCCAUUCCUGGUCUUCCUGAGAAGUAAGGUCAGGAGCAGCAGGGGCAGUUGGACUUAGGUCUAGGGCUCUGUUUCUGGUCAUCGGGGGAGUGCUGCAAGACCCACCAGCUCAAGGUGCUAACCUGAGCCUAUCACCUCUGGAUGAAAUGGGGUAAUGUGGAUGGGUGAUGUUGGACAACUGGAAGGAGGACUCAGGUAGCCCCAGCCAAAACAAAAGAGCUGAAGAAUAAAAAUAUGCUGUCUGGCUGACAUUAAUGGCCAAUAUUUAAAAAACUUACAUAUCCCCUUGCCAGUUUAUAGCUCUUAGAUUUUUAAAUAUUUAUUUUUUUACAUACAAAAAUACUUGGGGUUGUUUAUAUUAACAAUUUGAAAAAGAUCCUGAAUAUACAAGUAUACAAAUUUCCAUUUUCAUUGUGACUUGAUGCAUGCAUUUCCUAACUGGCACGCAAUCACAUUGCAUUCCAAGACUACAUUACUUAUAGGGUUCUGUUUUACAGAU